GCAGGCUGAAAUUCGCCUGCAUGAAGCCGGAAUUGCUAGUAAUGGCAGGUCAGCAUACUGCCGUGAAUACGUUCCCGGGCCUUGUACACACGCCCGUCACACCAUGAGAGUUGGGGAUACCCAAAGCCCGUGAGCCAACUUUAAAGAGGCAGCGGUCUAAGGUAGAAUCAAUGAUUGGGGUGAAGUCGUAACAAGGUAGC
rnacentral:rRNA from 1 species